AGUAAGCACCAGGGGUGCUCCGCCAGUCGAUCCUACAAGUGAUAAAAUGACUGGUGAGGGCUGAGAGAGUCCCUUAGAACCUGACCAGGGUAAUACCUGCGUAGGGAGUGUGCUUUUUUUUCUUU
rnacentral:ncRNA from 2 species